UUGACCUCGGAUCAGGUAGGGGUACCCGCUGAACUUAAGCAUAUCAAUAAGCGGAGGA
rnacentral:rRNA from 2 species